rnacentral:rRNA from 1 species
CCUACGGGAGGCAGCAGUGAGGAAUAUUGGUCAAUGGACGAGAGUCUGAACCAGCCAAGUAGCGUGAAGGAUGACUGCCCUAUGGGUUGUAACCUUCUUUUAUAAAGGAAUAAAACGAGGCACGUGUGCCUUUUUGCAUGUACUUUAUGAAUAAGGAUCGGCUAACUCCGUGCCAGCAGCCGCGGUAAUACGGAGGAUCCGAGCGUUAUCCGGAUUUAUUGGGUUUAAAGGGAGCGUAGAUGGGUUGGUAAGUCAGUUGUGAAAGUUUGCGGCUCAACCGUAAAAUGGCAAUUGAUACUGGCAGUCUUGAGUACAGUUGAGGUAGGCGGAAUUCGUGGUGUAGCGGUGAAAUGCUUAGAUAUCACGAAGAACCCCGAUUGCGAAGGCAGCUUACUAAACUGUGACUGACAUUGAUGCUCGAAAGUGUGGGUAUCAAACAGGAUUAGAUACCCCUGUAGUC